GACGAACGCUGGCGGCGUGCUUAACACAUGCAAGUCGAACGGAAAGGCCCUGCUUUUGUGGGGUGCUCGAGUGGCGAACGGGUGAGUAACACGUGAGUAACCUGCCCUUGACUUUGGGAUAACUUCAGGAAACUGGGGCUAAUACCGGAUAGGAGCUCCUGCUGCAUGGUGGGGGUUGGAAAGUUUCGGCGGUUGGGGAUGGACUCGCGGCUUAUCAGCUUGUUGGUGGGGUAGUGGCUUACCAAGGCUUUGACGGGUAGCCGGCCUGAGAGGGUGACCGGCCACAUUGGGACUGAGAUACGGCCCAGACUCCUACGGGAGGCAGCAGUGGGGAAUAUUGCACAAUGGGCGGAAGCCUGAUGCAGCAACGCCGCGUGCGGGAUGACGGCCUUGGGGUUGUAAACCGCAUUCGCCUGUGACGAAGCGUGAGUGACGGUAAUGGGUAAAGAAGCACCGGCUAACUACGUG
rnacentral:rRNA from 1 species